rnacentral:rRNA from 1 species
GGACCCGCACAAGCGGUGGAGCAUGUGGUUUAAUUCGAUGCAACGCGAAGAACCUUACCCAGGCUUGACAUCCUCGGAAACCUGAUGGAAACAUCGGGGUGUCCCUCACGGGGAAGCCGAGUGACAGGUGCUGCAUGGCUGUCGUCAGCUCGUGUCGUGAGAUGUUCGGUUAAGUCCGGCAACGAGCGCAACCCCUGUCGUUAGUUGCCAUCAAUUCGGUUGGGCACUCUAGCGAGACUCCCGGUGUUAAGCCGGCGGAAGAUGGGGAUGACGUCAAAAUCAUCACGGCCCUUACGUCCUGGGCUACACACGUGCUACAAUGGCCGGUACAGAGGGCAGCCACACCGCAAGGUGGAGCGAA